CGACCAGCCACACUGGAACUGAGACACGGUCCAGACACCUACGGGUGGCACUCGAGAAUUUUUCUCAAUGGGGGAAACCCUGAAGGAGCGACGCCGCGUGGAGGAUGAAGGUCUUCGGAUUGUAAACUCCUGUCAUUUGGGAACAAUUGUCACCGAUUAACUGUCGGGGGCUUGAUAGUACCAGAAGAGGAAGAGACGGCUAACUCUGUGCCAGCAGCCGCGGUAAUACAGAGGUCUCAAGCGUUGUUCGGAUUCAUUGGGCGUAAAGGGUGCGUAGGUGGCGGGGCAAGUCAGGUGUGAAAUCUCGGAGCUCAACUCCGAAACUGCACUUGAUACUGCCUUGCUCGAGUACUGGAGAGGAGAUUGGAAUUUACGGUGUAGCAGUGAAAUGCGUAGAUAUCGUAAGGAAGACCAGUGGCGAAGGCGAAUCUCUGGACAGUUACUGACACUGAGGCACGAAGGCCAGGGGAGCAAACAGGAUUAGAUACCCUGGUAGUCCUGGCAGUAAACGGUGCGCGUUUGGUGUGGGAGGAUUCGACCCCUUCUGUGCCGGAGCUAACGCGUUAAACGCGCCGCCUGGGGAGUACGGUCGCAAGAUUAAAACUCAAAGAAAUUGACGGGGGCCCGCACAAGCGGUGGAGUAUGUGGCUUAAUUCGAUGCAACGCGAAGAACCUUACCUAGCCUUGACAUGCAUCUCUAAGUCGGUGAAAGCCGGCGACUGUAGCAAUACAGAAUUUGCACAGGUGCUGCAUGGCUGUCGUCAGCUCGUGUCGUGAGAUGUUGGGUUAAGUCCCGCAACGAGCGCAACCCCUGUGAACUGUUGCCACCGACCUUCGGGUCGAGCACUCUGUUCAGACUGCCCUGUGAAACGGGGAGGAAGGUGGGGAUGACGUCAAGUCAGCAUGGCCCUUACGGCUAGGGCUGCACACGUACUACAAUGCUCAGUACAGAAUGAACCGAAACCGCGAGGUGGAGGAAAUCCCUAAAACUGAGCCCAAUUCGGAUUGGAGGCUGCAACUCGCCUCCAUGAAGCCGGAAUCGCUAGUAAUGGCGUAUCAGCUACGACGCCGUGAAUACGUUCCCGGGCCUUGUACACACCGCCCGUCACAUCAUGGAAGUCACUUGUACCCGAAGUAGGUGCGCCAACCGCAAGGAGGCAGCCUCCUAAGGUAUGGGUGGUAACUGGGAUGAAGUCGAAACAAGGUA
rnacentral:rRNA from 1 species